rnacentral:rRNA from 1 species
GGCUGAAACUCGCCUCCAUGAAGUUGGAUUCGCUAGUAAUCGCGCAUCAGCCAUGGCGCGGUGAAUACGUUCCCGGGCCUUGUACACACCGCCCGUCAAGCCAUGGGAGUUGGGGGUGCCUGAAGUACGUGACCGCAAGGAGCGUCCUAGGGCAAAACCGAUGACUGGGGCUAAGUCGUAACAAGGUAAC